AACGCUGGCGGUGUGCCUUAUACAUGCAAGUCGAGCGUGCCCGCAAGGGUAUCGCGGCAAACGGGUGAGUAAUAAAUAGGGAAUCUGCCCUCAAGUUCGGGAUAACCAGUCGAAAGAUUGAACAAUACCGGAUAAUGUUGCGGAGGAAAACCUCUGUAAAGAAAGGCGGCGCAAGCUGUCGCUUCUGGAUGAACCUAUUCACUAUCAGCUAGUUGGUGAGGUAAAAAGCUGCACCAAGGCUAUGACGGUUAGCUGGUCUGAGAGGACGGACAGCCACAUUGGGACUGAGACACGGCCCAGACUCCUACGGGAGGCAGCAGUCGGGAAUUUUUGUCAAUGGGCGAAAGCCUGAACGAGCGACACCGCGUGAACGACGAAGAUUCUUAGGAUUGUAAAGUUCUUUUGCUUGAGAAGAACACGGUUGCGACAACAUCAAAACCGUCUGACGGUAUCAAGCGAAUAAGCUCCAGCCAACUACGUGCCAGCAGCCGC
rnacentral:rRNA from 1 species